rnacentral:lncRNA from 12 species
AUGUUUUGUGCUGGAAAUUCUAAAGUUUCGUCUACUUCAUCCCAGGUUGCGACAUGCCUGUGUGAGGCCGGGACAAGCCACGGGGCCACCUGCCCGCCCUGCACUGCGCUCCGGGGCUGGUGGCUCCGGCCGGGAUUCGGGAUGACCCCUCCUGCCAAUCCGCUGCUGAGUGGGUCUGGACCCUUAUCCGCAAGGACUCGGGUCUUUAAUAUCGCAGAGGCCAGGUGCGCGUGGGUGACCUGCCCCGUGGUGACCAGGGGAGGUGACGGGCGUAGAGGGGACAGGGAGACCGCCCAUCAGGUUGGAGGCUCUGCCCCUGGAUCCGAAGCCUGGCUGCCCUGGGCCCCGCGCUCGGUCGCACUUGAAUAUUUCCACGUGUAGACACGCAGGACGACCCCGAAAUGCGGAGACUCAACUUACCGAGCGAAGUUGCAGAAAUAUUCUGAGGACAGCCCGGGUGGCUCAGUGGUUUAGCGCCGCCUUCAGCCCAGGGCCUGACCCUGGAGACCCUGGAUCGAGUCCCAUGUGGGGCUCCCUGCAUGGGGUCUGCUUCUCCCUCUGCCUGUGUCUCUACCUCUCUCUCUCUCUCUCUCUGUCUCUCAUGAAUAAAUAAAUAUUAAAAAAAAAGAAAUAUUCUGAU